rnacentral:rRNA from 1 species
GUGGGGAAUAUUGCGCAAUGGGGGAAACCCUGACGCAGCAACGCCGCGUGAGUGAUGAAGGCUUUCGAGUCGUAAAACUCUGUCUUUGGGGACGAAUAAUGACGGUACCCAAGGAGGAAGCCCCGGCUAACUACGUGCCAGCAGCCGCGGUAAUACGUAGGGGGCAAGCGUUGUCCGGAAUCACUGGGCGUAAAGGGCGCGUAGGCGGUUUGUUAAGUCAGGUGUGAAAGUUUUCAGCUUAACUGGAAAAGUGCACUUGAAACUAACUUACUUGAGUACUGGAGAGGUAAGCGGAAUUCCUAGUGUAGCGGUGAAAUGCGUAGAUAUUAGGAAGAACACCGGUGGCGAAGGCGGCUUACUGGACAGAGACUGACGCUGAGGCGCGAAAGCGUGGGGAGCGAACAGGAUUAGAUACCGGGUAGUCC